GUCAACGAUCAUACCAUGUUGAAAACACCAGUUCUCGUCCGAUCACUGAAGUUAAGCAACAUCGGGCGCGAUUAGUACUUAGAUGGGUGACCGCUUGGGAACUUCGCGUGUCGUUGGCC
rnacentral:rRNA from 2 species